ACAAAGGGCAUGAAUCCUGCAGCAAAUGGUCUGGGGAAGGGCCAAUUAAUUGUUUUAAAAAUAACCUUUACUUCUAAAAAUGGAGAAUCCACUCUGGGAGGGGAAGGGAGGAUAAAAAUAUGCUAACACUGAAUAGUUUCAGGGUUCCAGGGAAUAACAGUCAUCACUUCUGAAAGGUUGCUGUUUAGGAAAAAUGGUGAAAGUUUAUUUAAACUAAGCAAAAUA
rnacentral:lncRNA from 1 species